rnacentral:rRNA from 1 species
UACGUAGGUGGAGAGCGUUGUCCGGAUUUACUGGGUGUAAAGGGCGUGUAGGCGGGGAUUUAAGUCAGAUGUGAAAGCCCAUGGCUCAACUGUGGGACUGCAUCUGAAACUGGAUUUCUUGAGUGCUGGAGAGGAAAGCGGAAUUCCAAGUGUAGCGGUGAAAUGCGUAGAGAUUUGGAGGAACACCAGUGGCGAAGGCGGCUUUCUGGACAGUAACUGACGCUGAGGCGCGAAAGCGUGGGGAGCAAACAGG